rnacentral:rRNA from 1 species
AUUGAACGCUGGCGGCAGGCUUAACAUAUGCAAGUCGAGCGGGGGAAGGUAGCUUGCUACCGGAGCUUGCGGCGGACGGGUGAGUAAUGCUUAGGAAUAUGCCUAUUAGUGGGGGACAACAUCUCGAAAGGGAUGCUAAUACCGCAUACGUCCAACGGGAGAAAGCAGGGGAUCUUCGGAACUUGCGCUAAUAGAUGAGCCUAAGUCGGAUUAGCUAGUUGGUGGGGUAAAGGCCUACCAAGGCGACGAUCUGUAGCGGGUCUGAGAGGAUGAUCCGCCACACUGGGACUGAGACACGGCCCAGACUCCUACGGGAGGCAGCAGUGGGGAAUAUUGGACAAUGGGGGGAACCCUGAUCCAGCCAUGCCGCGUGUGUGAAGAAGGCCUUAUGGUUGUAAAGCACUUUAAGCGAGGAGGAGGCUACUUUAGUUAAUACCUAGAGAUAGUGGACGUUACUCGCAGAAUAAGCACCGGCUAACUCUGUGCCAGCCGCCGCGGUAA